rnacentral:rRNA from 1 species
AACGAACGCUGGCGGCAUGCCUAACACAUGCAAGUCGAACGAGACCUUCGGGUCUAGUGGCGCCCGGGUGCGUCACGCGUGGGAACCUGCCUUUAGGUUCGGCCUACCUCAGAGAAAUUUGAGCUAAUACCGGAUGAUGUCUUCGGACCAAAGAUAUAUCGCAUUUCGAUGGGCCCGCGUUGGAUUAGCUAGUUGGUAGGGUAAUGGCCUACCAAGGCGACGAUCCAUAGCUGGUCAGAGAGACUGAUCAGCCACACUGAGACGGAGACACGGCCCAGACUCCUACGCGAUGCAGGAGAGGGUAAUAGUGGACAAUCGGCGAAGUGCUGAACCAGCUAGGACGGGAGAGCGAUGAAGGCAGUAGGGUAGUAAAGCUCAUUUACCCGAGAUGAUAAUGACAGUACCGGGAGAAUAAGCCCCGGCUAACUCCGUG